CUGCGCACACCAUGGCCCCGAGCCCUGGCUCACCCCAAAGGCCCAGAAGCCGAAGAUGAUGAUGAUGAAGUCGACGACAUCAGCCAGGAACAUGAGGGCGUACACGUCAGUGGCCGCACGGUACUUGGUGUGCAAAAUGUCGUGGAAGAAACGCUGCAGGGGCUGGUACACACUCUGGGCCCUGCGGGUGUGUUGGGUGGUGGUCAGCUUGGCGCUCGCCUCUGUGCCUCCCACCUGCCCCACGGCCCCUGGCCGCUCCCAGGCUGGAUCACUCACAGGAACAGGCAGAAGCUCUGCAGCCGGAGCCCGGCCUCCCUCACUCUUUCCCUGGGGUGGCUCUGCCUCUUCUCUCUCCCUGUGGCUGCUGCUUUCUCCUUCUCCUGUUCCCCAUCCUCGGCUUCUGUAGGGGGGCAGCCACUGAUGACAAAAGUCCACGGGGGGCUCACAUCACCCCCUUUACAGACCAGCAGACUGAGUACAGGGAGCUCCCCAGGGCCGCCAGCAGCGGUUGUGGGUGGACAGGGCCAUCAUACCAGUGGUUGCCAGGCCUUUGGGCCCUGUGCUCUCCUUCCUCCUCCUCCUAAAACGCAGACUGAUGCGCCUCUUGUCGCGGGGCUUGAGGUCCACUGGGGACUCUGGGGGCCCGUCACUCACUGCCACCUGGAUGUCGUCCUCGAUGGGGGCCACAGCCACCCCUGGCUCCUCCUGGGGCCCCGUGCCCACCUCAGUCUGGAGUCCCAGCAGGGCCGGCUCCUCCUCAGCCCCCUUCUUCCCACUGCCCCUGUCAUGGUCCUUGGACAGCGGCUCCUCCUCGUGGUCCCAGAGGCCGUAGCACUGUCAGCUGGGAACGGUGGAAGAACAGGGCCAGGAGCUGCACCAGGUCGCACUUGAUAUAGCUGUCGCUCUUCUCCAGGCCCAGGAUGCGUGGCGGGAAGUAGGGCUUGUUCUCAUAGCGCCGAAGCACCGUGUGGCUGUUCCAGGGGAAGAAGCCAAACUGGAACAAGUACUUGGUGACCACCGUGACCUGCAGGGGAGAGGGGUCAGCACAGCAGGGCCGGGCCCCCACCCAAGCCCCUCCGGUCACCACCCACCUCGGUGAAGACGAUGGCCGUCAUCCAGAAGCGCUUGCUGGGCCGCGGGAUGGACAGCAUGGCCCACAGGAAGACCAGCACAGGCAGCACGAGGGAGGCAGCCGAGGCGGUGACCAUGUGGUUGAGGACGAUGAUGAAGUAGCAGAGCAGCUCCGAGUGGGCGGCCACGCACUGGUACCCGGCCUGCAGCAACCGCAGCACCCGGCCCUGCCCCUCUGCGAACCGCUCGGCCUCCUCCAGCUCCGGGAUGCGCAGGCACCUGCGGGGACCACACUCAGGCCCCCGCCGUGUCCGCAAAGGCCGGUCUGCCAGCCUAGCGCAGGCAGCUUCUGCGCCAGGGCUGCCCUGAGGCCAGGGCCCACCUGCCCACCCGCCUCCACCCCUUGCCAUGCACCUGUGGAGGAGCAGCUCGCUGGCCGUGCGCGUCCAGAUGUGAGUGUUGGCGGGAAGCUCCGAGGAGCCAUGCAGGGCCACCCUGGACUCGGGUGGUGCCGAAGAGCAGCAGGUAGAAGCAGGCCAGCAGGUAGCCCAGCCCGAAGAUGCUGAUGCGGGUGGCCCCCGUGACGAACACCACCACCAGCACCAGCCAGAAGAGGUAGCGGAAGACGGCCACCUUCAGCAUGUCGAGGUAGGAC
rnacentral:lncRNA from 1 species